CUUAGUAGCGGCGAGCGAACAGGGAAUAGCCCAGCACCGAAUCCCCCGGUCGGAAACGGCCGGCGGGAAAUGUGGUGUUCGGGAGUGCCCGAUUAUCCCGGCGUCGUGCGAUCUGUCCAAGUCCUUCUUGAACGGGGCCAUUUACCCAUAGAGGGUGCCAGGCCCGUAGAGGCGGUCGCACAUGACGGGAGGGUAUCUCCUUAGAGUCGGGUUGCUUGAGAGUGCAGCUCUAAGUGGGUGGUAAACUCCAUCUAAGGCUAAAUAUAACCACGAGACCGAUAGCGAACAAGUACCGUGAGGGAAAGUUGAAAAGAACUUUGAAGAGAGAGUUCAACAGUACGUGAAACCGUUCAGGGGUAAACCUGAGAAACCCGAAAGGUCGACGGGGGAGAUUCAACUGUCUCGUCGUCGUGCAGUUGUCAGUUGACGGUAUCUGCAUGUUAGUCCGUAGUUUCGGCUCCGGCUAAUAUGUUACGGUCCGUUCCUUUGGCAAUUUUGUAUGGCGAAGGCAUGCACUUCUCCCUCUGUAGGACGUCGCGACCCGUUCGGUACCGGAUUUUACGGCCCGCCGUGGCAGUUCGUUAACUCUGAUUUCGGUCUAAGUUAGCGCACCGGUGGUGUUAUCCUAUCCGGUCGCCGGACGGUAUUGAUAAUUGUGGCACGGAGCCGCCCGCAAAAGCGGGCGUCCGGCCGGUUACGAGCAUCGUGUCGGUUUAAAACCGUCUUACGGACUUGGUCCGUAUUCGGACCGGCGCAGCUGUCGGUAAUCGUGUCCCCGGACAGACUCCGUCGCUCCGCUCUCGGGCGGGGCGCAGUGCCCGUCUGCGACGCUAAAGCUUUGGGUACUUUCAGGACCCGUCUUGAAACACGGACCAAGGAGUCUAGCAUGUGCGCGAGUCAUUGGGACUUUAACUAAGCCCACAGGCGCAAUGAAAGUAAAAGUACGGCGAACUUCGGUUCGGCCGGCUUAGGGAGGAUGGCUUGCGUUGGCGCAAAUUUACUUUGCCGUCAAUUGUCGGCCCGCACUCCCGGCGCGUCUCGUGCCCGUCCGACCUCGCGUCGCGAUGUGCUGAGGCGCAGCUAGAGCGUACACGCUGGGACCCGAAAGAUG
rnacentral:rRNA from 2 species